GUGGGUUAGUGAAAAGGGAAGAAGGAAGAGGGGAGGAGGAAGGAAAGCAAGCCAGUCGAGGAACUACGCUGAAGAAUAGGCCUGAGAGGAGAGAGGGUGGAAAGGGAAGAUGAACAGGACCACUCAGCCUCACAGAUCUCCCUAGCUGGGCUAGCGAAGCCCACCUCCCUGCAGGGCUCUGUGAGAAACUCCAAGCUUAGACAUCAACCCUAAGCUUAGAAAUCAACCGUUGGGGCCGAUGUGGCUUGCAAAGUUAAUUGCUAGAACUCUGGAAUUGUCCUUUAUGCAUACCUUGUUUUAAAGUAAGCAGAUAUGGAGAAACAGAUCCAACCAGUGGAAGGAUAUUCGGGGACAAAUAUUCAAUGAUUCCUCACAGCACUCCUAACAGAGACAUUAAAAAUCGCUAUUUAUAAUUGUGUAUAUUUUUCCUCUCCAAAGUUUCUCUUUCCUUCCUUUCCCUCUUCCCGCGCCCCAUUUCAAAGUUGGGCAUGGGAACAGUGGAAUCACUCCCUAUUAAUCUGAGUAUUCAUCUAUUACGUUUUUAUGCUAGAUGUUAACGUCAAACAUAGGCCCUGUUUAUUUUUUUCUCCUUCCAUUUUUUUUUUUUAAAAAAACAUCAAGUCUGCCAGAUCAUUUAGCUAAGAGCUCAUCAAAGUGAAGAAUGCUUGCAUGGCUAGAGUAUUUUACCUUAAAGAGGAGGGGGAAAGUACUCGUGACCUAUGCGUCUCCACCUCCCUCUUCUCUUAGGCUACAUCCUUCUUACUACGUGGCGCGUGAGCCCUGAGGGCUGAGACGCUUCUGGUCUGCCUGCUCCGCUCUAAAGUCCAGUCCCUGGGAAAUGCUGGACCUUAGUCCUGGCCUCAGCCAAGGGAUCCUUUUAAAGCCCUUGAAUCACAAGCUAUCCACUCAUUUCAACCUCCCACCACACCACCUCUAAACUCCAGAAGCCAGGACUGUCAAAUCCACGUUUCCCAGGCUCUCGGGAGCAUUUCUGCAGCAUCCAGGAAGGGCAAGAGCUGCUUUCGACAUACUGAUGCUUCAAGAUUGAGGUUUUAAAGAAAGAAAGCAUUUGUGAAAUGGGGGUAAAGGAGCAAACAUAGGAUUUUUCUUUUUCUUUUUUUUUUUUAAAGGAAGUAGACGCCCACUCUCAUAUUUUCUUCAAUGUCAAGCGAAAUGAAAAUAUUUCCAGGGUGAUCAAUCGCGGCUACCGGCUUCCAAUACUGCCUAGAAGCUGAAGAGGUGGAGUGCCGAGGAGAAACCGUCACACGGUCACCCGCGCGUGAGCGCGGAUCUUGGCGUGGAGAGAGACAUACGGAGCGCGCACGUGUUACCUGCUUUAUUUCGGGACUGUUUGGUACUGUGUUCGCGCUGGGCAGCUCUCCGCCCGGAAGGCCGCCCCCGCACGCCGCCCUCAGCCCCACUUCGCGGCCGAGCUCGCCGAGGGCCUCAGAAACCAGUUCUGCUUGAUGUUGUCGGAAAGCUGCCAAGGCAAAAGACUGGAGAACUGUGAACACUCUCGCCCCGGGGAUCGCCUUUUCUUUGUAAUGGAAACACUUCCAGUUUGUAAGAACAUUGUUUCAUUAAAGAUCAGCAAGGACAGAGAAGCUUCCAGAGACUAUAUUCACUGAAGUGGUGCUCACUCCUCACCCACCUUGAAUUUUUCAAGGAAGAUUGCGACGUGAUCGCUUGAACUAGUGGCAAAGGGAAAUAUGCUGUGGGGAUUUGGUGGACUCAGAGGCUGAAUAUUUGUGAAGAACACUGAGUAAGGUUGUACAAUUCUCCUUCACUCUUGAAGAUGACUGAUUCUCAGAGGUGUUUAUGUGCAAACAUCUUAGUUACUGCUAAUUAGAGUAGAAUAGGGAAGAUUUUUGUGACACGAGAGUAUGUGGAAGCAUCUAUCUAUCCUCACAUGUUUAUUGUCCUUUGUGCAUAUUUCUAAAACAUACUUUCUAUUAAGCUGUGACCUGCAGUCAUGGCUUCACAGCCGGCUAGCUUUCAGUGAAGUGUAGUUCGGUGUACCAGUGCAGUUAAAGACAAAAGGAUGGCCAGGAAAACCCAACUUAGAACCCUAUCAAUGGAAUUCUCAUUGGCGGACAGACUAGGAAAAGGGUGGCUCCCGAAGCAGGGUAGUGGAAGACAGUGAUUUUCUUUAGGUGAGUUUUGGAAAGAUGCUCAGUGAAAUACUGUUUAGGCGUGGGUAUUAAUCGUGCAGCUUACUACGAAUGUGCCGGAAAUCAUGCUCUGUGCAAAUGAAAAUGAAGGAAUUUUAUGCAUAUUCUAAUUCUCUCUCUUUGGCUGCUAUUUUGGAGGAGAAGACUUCUUUUGCUGAUGGUGGGACUUUUUUGUUCUGCACAGGAAAUGUGUAAAUGAACACAUUCUCCCCCCCCCCCACUCCUCCGUUUUUCCUUUCCAUUUGCCUCCUCCAUUCCCCCCUCCCUUUGUCAACAACCAAGCGUAGUUCGGGUACUCAGUUCAGCCUCUGGUCCAGGACAGCUUUCCAUGUCCAGGAUGGAAGGGAGCAGGUCCAUAGUCAGGCCCCUGGUGUAGAGUUCCUCUGGCUCAUUAGGCCUUUGGGGAUGAAAGUAAAGUUUCUAUAGCAUGGAGGUAAAGGGAAAGAAGGGACGACUUUGUCUGGAAUCCCUGCUUGCUUUGGACCUACCAGAGCUUAAAAGAUCUUAUAAACAAUGAGGUAGAGAUGUCCUGACCAACAGCAUCAAAAUGAAACACCCCUCUCCAGGCCUUUGGGUACAAACAAGGACUAGUGAAUUUUCAUUAUACUGCGGCUAGCAGUAUAGUUAUAAAGUAUAUGUAUAUAUACAGUUUAUAAUAUAUGUAUGUACGUAUGUGUGUGCGUGUAUGUAUUUACUUUCUACUUCCAUCUUUUAAAAGCCAGUGUUCUAAUGGUGCUGAAUGUAGGGGCUCUUGAGGUGUCCCUGGCUGACUUUGUGCUAAACUCCUGAGCCGGGCUAGUGAAGGGUGUAUGGAUAUCGCUGGGCAGGAAAGAGAGGAUAGUAAAGAGGAAAAGGGGUGCUUCAUCCAUCCCCUCCUGCUCUGGGGCAGGCUUUUCAGAAGAAGGUAGGGGUAGGGAGGGGCGAGGGAAGAUGCCAACAGACUUGAGUUUCUCCGUUUUCACUCUCUGACUUAAACAAAACAUUGGAAGCAAUCUUAUUCUUCCCGGUUCAGAUUUGAAAGCGUAGUGCGGCUCGAGCCCGCGCGCUGUUGUGCCUGUGCUGCUCCGGGAAGGGGAGCGCGGACUUCACUGCCCGGUCGGUCGGUUCUCUGCGCUUGCCUCUCCACCGCCGGGUGGUCUCCCAGGCCGGCUGGCGCUGGGCUGUCCCAGGUCCCUCGGGCCGGGACCAACCCUCCUCCACUCCCGGCUCCCCGAGCUCGGACGCAGCUCGCCAGCGCUGUCUGCGGAGGAAGUGCCUGGAAGAAGCUCCAGCCGCUCGCCCGGGGCUCAGCAAACAGCAGAGGCUGGAAAAGCUGGAGGAGGCGGCCGGGGCAAGCCCGCCGGGGCGCCCCAGGCCUGGAGACCUCCCGCCGUUUUCCCGGACACCUAGUCGCUCCCCACCUGCUCCGAGGCCCGCACUCAACACUCGAUGACAGCCCUCCCAGACCGGGGGAGGGGUGUGUGGGUUGCUCCCUGCUCCCUCUCUCGCCAGUCACGUGGUUGAAGGGUGGUUCGGACACUGGGUCAUCUUUCUCCCGGCUGGUGACGUCUUUCUUAACCUUUCCUCUUAUUUUCAUUUCUAUUUAAAUGCCUUCACUUCUUAAAUUUGGGAUCGGAAGGAGCUAAAGGGAGCAAAGAAAAGGCCCAAUGACAAGGAAAUCAUUUCUGGCUUUUCAGAUCUUUUCACUUGCCCCCUUUUGCCCCGCUGGCCCAGAUUCACACCAGCAGCCUUUGGUUUGGACCUUUCCCUCCAGGGCCUAGACCAGAGUCUGCACUUAGCAGUCGCGCGCAGUAAAUGGCACUAUGGCUGGAUAAGGGAUGACUUCCUUAGGCUUGGAUGCCCUCGGAUCAGCUGACUUCGGCAUAGGGUAUUUUUUUUUCUCCUUCGGCUCGGCCCAAAGGCAGAUAAACAACGUAUGUUUUGCAUCGGUGUUAUUUAUAUGGCUAUGCACCCCCACCCCCAACUGGGGUGGGGAAAGUUGUAGAAAAUAUUUUUUGUGGUCUUAUUCAUACAUAUGACGUAAAAUGCUGUGACUUUCAGAAUGUAGAAGUUAAUCUUAAGGCUUUUCCUUUACGUAUUAUUGUCUUUUAAAAACAACUUUACUUCUUUAAUAAGAGGCAAAGACCUAACAAAAUGAAGAUAAUCUCUUGUAGAAACUACACGAUUUCUUACAUUCUCCUGCUGCUUUAGUAUAAUUGAACACUUUUUAAAAACUGAUUCACUUCUUUGUGGUGUCUUCUGCAACAUUCAACAAUUCUUAUUCUUUACAACAACUUUUGUUCCUUAACAUCGUAAACAGACUUUGCAAUCAGGCAAGCCAUUUUAGGCUUGCAAGACUGGAUUUAGGGAGUCUCUGCAUAUUGAAUACACAGUCUACUAAGUACCAUUUGUGUAAUCCAUGAACUAUUCCCUAGAGAAUUUUGUGUCCCACUCUCAUUGAUUGUAAAAUAGUGAAAUUAUAUAACCAGUGAGCUAAUAACCACGAAACUAAUUUGAAAGGUUAUAAUUGCUAAUCAAAUGUAAAGCAUAUUUAUUAGCAUCAUUAUUAAAAGGUGCCAGAGGGAUACAGAUAAAACCUGUUCCUAUCCUCUGGGAACUUACAAUCUAGUUGGGCAUAAACAAUGAAAUAUAAAUGGAUAGAAACAGCUACGAAGCAUUGUUCAGUGCCUGGCAUAUUGAAGACAGUCAGAAAAUGAUUCCCUCACGUUAAUCUGUAGUCGUGUCGUUCUUUUCACAGAAAUACAAUAUUGUAAAUAAAGGAAGGAUUAAUUAGGAAAACUUUCCUAAUUUCUCUUUCAUACACAUGUGAAAUUGGAAGCAUACAAGCUGUUUGUGUGUGAGGGACAAAGAUGUUAGUAAUUAAAUGGAGGUUAUCAAAAAUGCCCUAUCAAAGACUGUUGCAAUAGUAUUACAACAGAUACAUUUUCAUAGAUCUUCAAUAAUUCUGUGUAUGUGUGUGGGUGUGUGCAUCAGUCCCUCUGAAGUUGGGAUUACAGGCAUCUGUGAGCUGGGUGCAAACAAGGGUGCUGAGAAUCAUACAUGGGUUCUCUAAACGAGCAUCAUCUGCUCUUUACUCCUGAGCCACUGCUUCGGCCCCUUACUAUGUACUUUUAAAUCAUUCUUGCUAAAUACUGGAUGCAGAGAAAAUUUGAGAGUAAGAAAAGAUUUUGCUGAAGUUCUGGAACACGGUGUUUCUAGAAAAGGAUUAUCAUUACAAUAACCACUGAGCCUCUUAUUCCAGUUUGCGAACAGUGGAAAUGACGCUGAAAUGUUAGACUCCAGCGUAAGUCGUGAACACACAGAGAGCAGCAGUGCCCUAGAAUCCCCCUUGCACACUCACAUGUUUUUCGUGACCAUUGGUGAUGGAGAUGGUAGGUACUGACGAGUGGUGAUAAAUCCUGAGACUUCGCCAUCACCAGGGAAGCUCAAGAUGUGUUUUAUAGUUUACACUCAUGUCCAUAUUCAUUGGAAGCGAUUUUCACCUAUAAACAAGGUGUCCUUCUACUGUAUCCGCCUUCUCUAGUUAUCUUGUUUUCAGCCUCAGAAAGUUUUAAUUGUAGCAACUACUGGGGGGCACUAUUGGUCUUGUAGGUAGAUUUGUAGGAUGUUCCGAAGCACCCGACGAUUCACAAUUUAGUUCUCUGCACACUCAAGUUCUCCUAUCCAACCUGUCAGUGGAACCUGGGUUAACCAAUCUUCAGGGCUGGGAAUAUUUUGGACAGCUCCACUAUGAGUCCUUGGGUCUAACUUUUUUUUUUUUAAUAAUCACAUUUUUAACUAAAAAAUAUUAUUUUGCCUCCUAAGAAAAAUAUAUUUGAAGAAGGCAACAUCUUUGACUUGCCCCGAGGCCUUAGAGGAGGGAAAUCAGAAGGGCAUCUGCUUGGAUUUUCUACUUUUUGUAGCAGCAGAGGUAGAAGCCAUCUUUAGGGACUUGUCAUCUGGAUGCUAUUUGUUAAAUUAAUAAAAUGUGUCUUUGGAGUUGCUUAGCAACUUAUGGGAAGCUUUUUCAAAAGUUCACUUGUUUGUUUAAAAUGAGGGUAGGUUGCAUAUUAUUAGCUACAUUACAUAAAUCAACAAAGAGAAUGAAUGUACAGCAAGAAUGGAAGACGAUGCUUUAGCACAUUCUGCACUCCGUGCCUGGCAAUUCAAACACCCAGUUGUCUGGUAGAUUUGCAUCAAGUAUUCCACAAACAUUAUUUAUGUAUGGAGUUUCAGUGUAAUGUUGAGGAUAUUAAAAAAAAUCAAAGGGGAAAAAUUAAACAGCUUUGUCAUAAAAUAUUUGUCCGUCUUAACCUUUCUUCUUCAGAAAUCUUAUCCGCCAAGUGUUUUUGUCAGGCACUAAUUAUACUCUUUCUGAAAAGAGUUUCCCUGGCCCCCUUCAGUGCUGGUCCUCUUUAAUCAUACCUCAUUGCCUCUACCUAAACCAUAUCCUUUCCACAUUGCCAGGGCUCGUUAGCAGUUUCAAAAGCCAAUCUCGGACAUUAUCACUGUUUGUAAUCAAAAUGAAAAUAUUGCCAAUGGUAUUUUAUUUCUAAAAUUUAACAAGCCAUUUUUUUUAAAAAAAUUCUAUUUACUGAUUAAUGAAACCCCAACUUUCAAGCAUGGAACGUUCGGGACUGGAGAGAUGUGUCUGAAACACUUGCAUCACCUUUUCUAAAAGUUAUUUUUGUAAACUGCUGUAGCAGUGGUUCAUCAGUCACUCUGAAGGGAAGUGAUCCUUGAUUAACCGUUGGCUGAUACUGUGCUCCACAGAUGUGUAGCCGGAGGACAGGUGCGGCCUAUAAGACAAGACAGCUCACGUUCAAGGUCUAAGCUAUUUUUCUGCAUAUUGAAAAUGAAAAAGAACUGGGAUGCGCCUUCAUCUUUGUUUAUUAAUUCAUAUAAUUAAUAUAGAAAAACAAACCAAAUGCUCCACUGAAAUAAUGAUCUAUAGAUGCAGCAUUUGUCAGUAACUUCAAGAAAGACAGUAAGUUUGGUAGGUACGUCAGUUUCCUCUUUGAUUUUCUGGUUUUAGAAAGCCACAGUUAUAAUUUCAGUUACAUAACUGAAAUAGAAUCUUCUUGUAAUACCUUGUUAGGACUGAGAGGUCAAAUCCUUUCUCUCAGAAUUUGACUACAUAGGCUCAUUAGAUGAUCUUUGAGAUGAACGCUUCUUGCAUUAUUAUAGUCAAGCUUGAGAUUAUUUCUGGAAGUUUAUUGUUAUUUUAUGAGUUCUAUGAAACUAUUAAUGGUUUAUUGUUUGCCUUUUUAUUCAGACACUACUAAGUUUUGGUGUUUUUCUUUAAACCCACUAAUUGUCUUAAUGUGUAUCAUUUGGACUGGCAUUCCAAUCUGUAGGUAGUAGUGGAUGUGCAAAUAAGUUUUUAUUUCUUGACUUUCCCUCAAUUUUCUACCAGAUAGUAAUUACUUCUCACUUGUAAUAUUUCUUAAGUUUUUUUCUUUUGGAAUAUAUUUUUUUUUCAUUUUUAUUUCUUCUGAUUUCUGUCUAUUAAUAUGGUUCAGUUUGUUUCUAAUGAUCACAAAUGGGGAGUCAUAUGAUACCAUAUGCCAGCAGAUGAGUUUGGUUUGCUAUCACUCAAUCAUUUACAGUAGAACAGUUGAAUUUUUAGGACCUGUAACGCAUCUCCCCAAGAAUCAUUCUCUCAUUCUUUCUUUAUGGUAUUUUGCUAAAUAAUGUUUGACAAAUACUGUUCCAUUCAUAGAAAUCAUUUAAUUGAUAAGAAAUGAGGAAAAUCCAUUAAAACGUGCAAAAAUAGAUAAAACCCCAGAACAAAUAUGGCCAACCCCUUGUGUGUAAUUAAACAUAAGAAACCUUUACCCAUAUAUCUAAUGUUUCUGAUGAUUAUUAAAACAUAACGUAACAACAAAGUUUCAUGAGAAAUAAAUAUGUUCCAUUACUAUACUUUAAAAAUAAUUUUUGCUUAUGCAACCUUGUUUUUAUUAAUAACAUUUUCCUUUUCUGUACUGAUUGUCUAUUCUCUUGUUCUUC